rnacentral:rRNA from 1 species
GACGAACGCUGGCGGCGUGCCUAAUACAUGCAAGUAGGACGCACAGUCUAUACCGUAGCUUGCUACACCAUAGGCUGUGAGUUGCGAACGGGUGAGUAACGCGUAGGUAACCUGCCUAAUAGAGGGGGAUAACUAUUGGAAACGAUAGCUAAUACCGCAUAACAGUAUGUAACACAUGUUAGAUGCUUGAAAGAUGCAAUUGCAUCGCUAGUAGAUGGACCUGCGUUGUAUUAGCUAGUAGGUAGGGUAAUGGCCUACCUAGGCGACGAUACAUAGCCGACCUGAGAGGGUGAUCGGCCACACUGGGACUGAGACACGGCCCAGACUCCUACGGGAGGCAGCAGUAGGGAAUCUUCGGCAAUGGGGGGAACCCUGACCGAGCAACGCCGCGUGAGUGAAGAAGGUUUUCGGAUCGUAAAGCUCUGUUGUUAAGGAAGAACGAGUGUGAGAAUGGAAAGUUCAUACUGUGACGGUACUUAACCAGAAAGGGACGGCUAACUACGUG